CGUGGGUAACCUGCCCUGGAGUUCGGGAUAACUCGGGGAAACCCGGGCUAAUACCGGAUACGGCCGCGAGGUCUUCGGACCUUUCGGAGGAAGAUGGCCUCUCCUUGGAAGCUAUCGCUCUUGGAUGGGCCCGCGUCCCAUUAGCUUGUUGGUGAGGUAACGGCUCACCAAGGCUCUGAUGGGUAGCUGGUCUGAGAGGAUGAUCAGUCACACUGGAACUGAGACACGGUCCAGACUCCUACGGGAGGCAGCAGUAGGGAAUUUUGGGCAAUGGGCGAAAGCCUGACCCAGCAACGCCGC
rnacentral:rRNA from 1 species